GAUGAACGCUGGCGGCGUGCUUAACACAUGCAAGUCGAACGGAAAGACGCUGCUUUUGCGGGGUGCUCGAGUGGCGAACGGGUGAGUGACACGCGAGUAACCUGCCCCUGACUUUGGGAUAACAUCAGGAAACUGGGGCUAAUAUCGGAUAUGAGCUCCUGCUGCGCGGUGGGGGUUGGAAAGUUUCGGCGGUUGUGGAUGGAAUCGCGGCUUAUCAGCUGCUUGGUGGGGUAGUGGCUUACCAAGGCUUUGACGGGUAGCCGGCCUGAGAGGGUGACCGGCCACCAUAGGACUACGAGACGGAGCAGACGGGUAUGGGAGGCAGCAGGGGGAAAUAUUGCAGAACGGGCGGACGCCUGAGACAGAGGCGCCGCGUUCGUGAUGACGGCCUUCUGGUUGUGAACCGCUUUGGCCUGUGCCGUGGCGUGAUUGACGGUAAUUGAUAAAGAAGCACCGGCUAACUACGUG
rnacentral:rRNA from 1 species